UACGUAGGGUGCAAGCGUUGUCCGGAAUUACUGGGCGUAAAGGGCUCGUAGGCGGCCAACUAAGUCGGACGUGAAAUCCCUCAGCUUAACUGGGGAACUGCGUCCGAUACUGGAUGGCUUGGAUUUGGGAGAGGGAUGCGGAAUUCCAGGUGUAGCGGUGAAAUGCGUAGAUAUCUGGAGGAACACCGGUGGCGAAGGCGGCAUCCUGGACCAAUAUUGACGCUGAGGAGCGAAAAGCUAGGGGAGCAAACGGG
rnacentral:rRNA from 1 species